UGGGGAAUUUUGGACAAUGGGCGAAAGCCUGAUCCAGCAAUGCCGCGUGUGUGAAGAAGGCCUUCGGGUUGUAAAGCACUUUUGUCCGGAAAGAAAUCCUUGGCUCUAAUACAGUCGGGGGAUGACGGUACCGGAAGAAUAAGCACCGGCUAACUACGUGCCAGCAGCCGCGGUAAUACGUAGGGUGCAAGCGUUAAUCGGAAUUACUGGGCGUAAAGCGUGCGCAGGCGGUUUGCUAAGACCGAUGUGAAAUCCCCGGGCUCAACCUGGGAACUGCAUUGGUGACUGGCAGGCUAGAGUAUGGCAGAGGGGGGUAGAAUUCCACGUGUAGCAGUGAAAUGCGUAGAGAUGUGGAGGAAUACCGAUGGCGAAGGCAGCCCCUGGGCCAAUACUGACGCUCAUGCACGAAAGCGUGGGGAGCAAACAGGAUUAGAUACCCUGGUAGUCCGCGCCCUAAACGAUGUCAACUAGUUGUUGGGGACUUCAUUUCCUUAGUAACGUACUAACGCGUGAAGUUGACCGCCUGGGGAGUACGGUCGCAAGAUU
rnacentral:rRNA from 1 species